CCUACGGGAGGCAGCAGUAAGGAAUAUUGGUCAAUGGACGCAAGUCUGAACCAGCCAUGCCGCGUGAAGGAUUAAGGCCCUCUGGGUUGUAAACUUCUUUUAUAGGGGACGAAAAAAGGGCAUUCUUGCUCACUUGACGGUACCCUAGGAAUAAGCACCGGCUAACUCCGUGCCAGCAGCCGCGGUAAUACGGAGGGUGCAAGCGUUAUCCGGAUUUACUGGGUUUAAAGGGUGCGUAGGUGGGUUGGUAAGUCAGUGGUGAAAUCUUCGAGCUUAACUCGGAAACUGCCAUUGAUACUAUCAAUCUUGAAUCAUCUAGAGGUAAGCGGAAUAUGUCAUGUAGCGGUGAAAUGCUUAGAUAUGACAUAGAACACCAAUUGCGAAGGCAGCUUACUAUGGAUGUAUUGACACUGAGGCACGAAAGCGUGGGGAUCAAACAGGAUUAGAUACCCUGGUAGUCCACGCCCUAAACGANAGAUACUACGACUAUUAGUGUAUAUAUAUAAGUAGUNUGAGACGAAGACAUAAGUUACUACCUACCGUACGGUAAGGUACGACCGACGAGGUAGUAACGUACAAGUAGUAGUUAGUACGGCGUGAGACGUACGACCGACGGACGACGACGAGGGAGGAGG
rnacentral:rRNA from 1 species